UCAAGAUGAGAUUUCCCAUUGCCUGGCUUGCCAGGCAGGUAAGAUCCCUGAAAGACGAUCAGGUAGAUAGGUCCGGUGUGGAAGUGUGGCGACACAUGGAGCUGACGGAUACUAAUCGAUCGAGGACUUAAUCUU
rnacentral:rRNA from 1 species